rnacentral:rRNA from 1 species
AGUGAACGCUGGCGGUAGGCCUAACACAUGCAAGUCGAACGGCAGCACAGUAAGAGCUUGCUCUUACGGGUGGCGAGUGGCGGACGGGUGCGGAAUACACCGGAAUCUACUUUUUCGUGGGGGAUAACGUAGGGAAACUUAUGCUAAUACCGCAUACGACCUAUGGGUGAAAGCAGGGGAUCUUCGGACCUUGCGCGAUUGAAUGAGCCGAUGUCGGAUUAGCUAGUUGGCGGGGUAAAGGCCCACCAAGGCGACGAUCCGUAGCUGGUCUGAGAGGAUGAUCAGCCACACUGGAACUGAGACACGGUCCAGACUCCUACAGGAGGCAGCGGUGGGGAAUAUUGGACGAUGGGCGCAAGCCUGAUCCAGCCAUACCGCGUGGGUGAAGAAGGCCUUCGGGUUGGAGAGCCCUUUUGUUGGGAAAGAAAAGCAGCAGGUUAAUACCCCGCUGUUCUGACGGUACCCAAAGAAUAAGCACCGGCUAACUUCGUG